AUUGAACGCUGGCGGCAGGCCUAACACAUGCAAGUCGGGCGAGUGGCGGACGGGUGAGUAAUGUAUGGGGAUCUGCCUGAUGGAGGGGGAUAACUACUGGAAACGGUAGCGAAUACCGCAUACCAGCAAAUGAACCCAUAUGGGCUUCGCUUGUAGGUGGGGUAACGGCUCACCUAGGCGACGAUCCCGAGCGGGUCUGAGAGGAUGAUCGGCCACACUGGUACUGUGACACGGCCCAGACUCCUACGGGAGGCAGCAGUGGGGAAUAUUGCAAUAUGGGCGCAAGCCUGAUGCAGCCAUGCCGCGUGUAUGAAGAAGGCCUUCGGGUUUUAAAGUACUUUCAGUCGGGAGGCGUUACCGGCAGAAGAAGCACCGGCUAACUCCGUGCCAGCAGCCGCGGUAAUAC
rnacentral:rRNA from 1 species